GGGAGCCGCCCCGCCCCGCCCUGCCCUGCCGCCCCUCCGGCUCCGCCACGCGCGGCCUUCCGCUCUGUUAUAAAAGCUUUAAACUCAACGGACAUGCACGCAAAAGGUACAGAACGUUUCGUUGCUGUGCAGCCCCUGUUUGCAGACACGCACGCCGUGAGAGCAGGACGUGAGGUGCUUUUUACACUUCAACCAGUCUGAGUUAGACAAAGAUACCACUGUGGCUAAACCGGUUCCCGUACUUCAACCUGUACUUAUAAAGACUGUUAAGGAUGAGGUAGCACCUCGCCAGGGCAUAACCUGUGUAUCAGGAACGUAAUCAGCAGUGCAAAUGAUGGCCUGCCUUUGCUGCCUCCCAGCUGUAUGUCUGAUAGAGAAUGAGAAACCUACUGGUUUCAAGAAGGACUGGAGCUGUGCUACUUGAGAGUGGUGUUCUACUUCAUUUUCAAGCAAAAUUUCCAGGUUUGGAAAAGAAACAUUGCUGGGGAGGAAUCCAAUGAAUUUAUUAAUGAGCUGGUGUUGUCAGUGCACGUUCAAACUCCUGUUCAUCAUUUUGUGGCAUGACUGACAAAACAGCCUGCCUGUCCUGGGCACAUACUGAACAGAUGAGUGCUUCCAUUCGUCUAAGAAGGUCUCUAUUUAUUUCUCAGUCUAUUCUGAUCAGAGAUACCACUUUGAGUCUCAAUGUAACUGACAUCUUUGGCAAUCCCACCGACACUGAAAUACUGAGGUCCUUUGCUCUCUAUCAUCUCAAGAAUUUGAGAAGGGCAUCAGAAAAUGGCUUGUUGUUUUCACAUGUUGGGAAGGGGAAGAAAUAUUUGACCUUGAAACUGAGUUCAACUGUCUGUAUCACUUAGAUGCUGCUCUAUCUUAACCCAGAUGUUAAAGGAGACUAACCAAUCACUUAUGCUAGUGGUCCUGAGGUGAAAUACAAAACAAAAGAUCCAUCUGCUUAUUGCAGGAAGAGGUCAGGCUGCUUGGCUAACACUUAACUCCCGUUUGUAUUCAGUCAUUACUGGUCCUAUUUAUAAUGAGGGAAAUUCAGCUCUAGAGAGAGCUGGAUAUGAGGCCUCUGAAGUCAGUGGUGAGCCUUACCCUGAGUCUGAUGCCUCAGCACCAAAGGUAAUUUUCCUGCUUGUGCCACUUAAGUGCCUUUCGUCACAAAUCACAUUUUGCACAUACUGAGUAAAAGUGGGUGCUUUGAUGCUUUAUGGUUUAUGAAGCUAUGUGGUAGAUGACAUUAAUUUAAUCCAGGAGUGAAUCUUAUAUAGCUGUGCUGAAUUAAAAAAUAACAAAACGACAACCAUUUCAGUUCAAAACUGCUUUGACCUAUUGCCAUGAAAAUGUACAGAGGAGAUGGGUGCACGUAUCAUAGUUUUAGUUUUCCUUUCUGUCCCAGUCACUUCGCGUUCUUAUUCUAGCAUUCCUACUUUUUGUUAGAAUACACCAUGUGUAUAUGUGAGCUGUUUGCUUAAGUUUUGCAGUCUUUUCUGGGGACUCCGUUACAAGAGGAGGUCUCAGCAGAUCCAUUGAAAAGCUCUGACCAGCUGAGCCUCCCUCCAUACUGACAGGCCCAUGCAGAACCCGCUGCAGGUUGUCAGUAGCUAAAUGGCACAAACCUCCCUGGCUCCUGCAGGGAACAUAGCAAAGGCAGCAGGGCUUUGUUCACUCCACAGUCUGUAGCAGUGAAGCUCACAACAGGAUCAAGGUCAUAAUAUUUUUAGCCUGUAUUCAAUGGCAUUAAUGUUAGCAACACGUAAACAAUUUGCUCUGCAGACAGCAAGAUCUAAUGAAGCUUGAUUUCCUGUGGGUUUAUGCAUUUCAGUUUUACAACCCGCUUUCCUUACCUUUUCUCCACCGCUUUAAAAGACUCAGAUGCUCUUUCUGUUUCAUCCAAGUUCCCCCUCUGCUCCCUCCCCUUCUCCAAGGGUGAUCUCAGCUUCUGCCUGGGAGUCACUGGCCAAGGGGAGCCCAUGGAGGAGUUCAAGUUGUGGGCUUCCCUCCCACAGAGUGCACUCUUGCCUUUCUUUCCUUGCCAGCUGCUGGUGUUCUCACAGCCUUGAAGGAAUUUAAUAUUUGCAAGACUGCUGCCACGCACUGAAUUUGAUACUUGCCAGUGGGUUCAAACGUUCAUGGUUCAUGAGGUGAGGAAAGGUUGACUGCUCUAUAGGCAGAUACUGCACAAACAGAAAUCUGGUUUUGAGAGUGGGAAAGGCACAUGAAAAAAAGCACAUCUGUUUCUUCAGCUGGCAUUUGCUUUUGUGCAUUGCUUUGCCUUCUGAUUGUUAAUGCAUGCAGUACAUCCAAAGGUGUUAGAUGAAAACCCAGAGGAAGGGGAUCCCCUGCUUCCCUGCCAAACCAGACAGGCCACGGUGAUGGCAGCUCCUCAUCUUACCAGCUGUGAACACGCUGUGCUCAAUUACCAUGAGCAGUGCUCGUAGCUGCGCAUGAUUUGCUGAUUCACUCUAGGACUGUUUCUCAGUUCUUCUGUCAGCAUUUCUCUUUGCUGAUAAUAUGUACUGGUGAUAGAGCUGCUGGCUGUCUCUGAAACAGGAGGGAAAAAGCCACUUGGUUCCCCAUCGUGACUUGACUUCUGCCCAGAUUACCUGGGAAUACCCACAAACUGUGUGUGAUGAAAAGCUUCCUAGAGCAAGAAACCACUGCUGUAGUCACCCCUAAUGCACUGCACAGCAUGGAAUCAAAGAAUCCUUAGAGUUGGAAGGGACUUCUGAAGGCAGCUAGUUCAGCUGCCCUGCAAUGAACAGAGACACCAUGGCUCGAUCAGGUUGCCCAGGGCCUGAUCUAGCCUCACAUCAAGUGAUUUUUUUCUUUUCUUGGCCCGCAGUGAAAAGCUGCUGAAGGACAGCUGGAUAUUUGGUGCCAACUGGAAAUUCCUGAUUUCAGAGAACAGCCCUGGUUCAGGAAAGAAACCAGCCAAGAAGCUCUACUAUAAAUUAAAAUGUGAGCUCCUAGAAACCAUUUCCUGAUGGGACUCAGGUACUUUACCUUUGCCAUUCCUGUAAAACAUCAGCUGCAUACAUCAGACUGAUGGCGUCAGGUGGUUUUCCAUAAAAAUCCUGUCUGUGCUGUGCUUCAUUUGCUUUAUUUUUGCUCUAACCCAAGAAACAAGUCAGCAGCUUCAAGAGUCAGCUGACACUGAGUCCUUUCCCAGCAAAGCCUACUGUUAACCAUGUGCAGCUCCAGCCAUAUUUGUAGGUAAUUUCAUUCUGUUUUUUUUUUUUUAUAAUAACUACUUUGCUUUACUUUUUCCAGUUUAAUUGGGAUUUUAUUUCAUAGCAUUAGUUUUUGGCCUUGUAAAACAAUGAGGUAUUUGAAACUAUUUAGGGGCAAGUAUUCUCACUGUGAUGGGGCACGUGGAUUGAAAUGCACAGCAAUUCUCUGUUUCACUGAGAAGGCGUGGGUUCAUAACACAGAGUUUACUAGAUGGGUGUGUCCACUGGUACAGUACCUAUUUGUUGGUAUUUGCUAUAGAAGAACUUUGGCUGGCUGCUGUUCUUUUCAUUCUGCAGCACGUUUCUAAACAACAUUCCACGGUGUUUUAGAGCUUGACUAAGAGGUCUCCUGGGGAAAAAUAAGAUCACCUUUUAACUGAUUUCAGCACAGCUGGCUUCUCUUUAAUCCUACAAUGAUGUUGUACCUCAUACUAGCAAGUGUUUUAAUGGGAAAGUUUGUACUUCAUGUGACUUAAAACCGUAUUUCCUCUCCUCUGAACUCUCUUUGGCUGGAAAUGCAUAGGCUUUCGAGAAAAUAAGUUAGGUGCAUUUUUGUGCAAUGCAGCAGUUUCUCCACUUUCGCUAACCCUCAUUUUUGUAGCUGAUAGAACAGAGCAGGGACCGUCUGAGCACGUGCCGUAAUCCCCAACGGGCUGCAGUCCAGAUAUUCACGCAGCCCCGCUGAAAAGCAUCACCACGCCGAGCCCCCUUACGCUCAGCUCCGCUCGUGCGUCCCCGGCGCGGAGGCGGUGCCGGGCGGCUCCUCCCUUCCG
ensembl:lncRNA